CGAUAUUUUGAAAAUCAAAGAGUAAUUAAAGUUGGGUUCUUGAGAUAAGAAUUAAACAAGAAAUGAAAACACGGGCAAUUAAGAGC